UGAGUUAUAAUAUUAAUGAUGAAUAAGUUCGUGUUGAUUAAAGAUAAAAUUGAUAUUUCCAUUGUGUUGAGAUUUUUAGUGUUAGUAGAAAUCGACAUCUAUUUCGAUAAUAUUGGAUGUCUGGAGGUUAUAUUGACCAAUCGGGUAAUUAACCGGAUAAAUGAAUAAUUAAUUGCUAUUAAUUCACAUGCUUAUAACUAUGUGUUCACACGUGUG
rnacentral:lncRNA from 1 species